rnacentral:rRNA from 1 species
AGAGCGAACGCUGGCGGCAGGCCUAACACAUGCAAGUCGAGCGCCCGUAGCAAUACGGGAGCGGCAGACGGGAUAGUAACACGUGGGAACGCGCCCUUCGGUUCGGAAUAACUCAGGGAAACUUGAGCUAAUACCGGAUACGCCCUUACGGGGAAAGAUUUAUUGCCGAAGGAACGGCCCGCGUCCGAUUAGCUAGUUGGUGAGGUAUUGGCUCACCAAGGCGACGAUCGGUAGCUGGUCUGAGAGGAUGACCAGCAUCACUGGGACUGAGACACGGCCCAGACUCCUACGGGAGGCAGCAGUGGGGAAUAUUGGACAAUGGGCGCAAGCCUGAUCCAGCCAUGCCGCGUGGAUGAUGAAGGCCUUAGGGUUGUAAAGUCCUUUUAACGGGGAAGAUAAUGACGGUACCCGUAGAAUAAGCCCGGCUAACUUCGUGCCAGCAGCCGC